rnacentral:snoRNA from 12 species
UGGCUUGGUUUCCUGGGGGGUGGACUCAGCCUACUCCACCUCCCCUCAGCCGAGCCUAGAGUAGAGGGGCCAGGCAUCCUUUCUGGGGGAGAGGCGUUUAUGUAAGGAGCUUCGCCUGGGCUGUCCUAGCCUCACAUUU